CCUACGGGAGGCAGCAGUGAGGAAUAUUGGUCAAUGGGCGGGAGCCUGAACCAGCCAAGCCGCGUGAGGGAAGAAGGUACAGCGUGUCGUAAACCUCUUUUGUCAGGGAACAAAGGCGGGGAGUGGUCCUCGGAUGAGGUUACCUGAAGAAAAAGCACCGGUUACCCCCGUGCAAGCAGCCGCGGUACUACGGAGGAUGCGAGCGUUAUCCGGAUUUAUUGGGUUAAAAGGGUGCGCAGGCGGCCUGUUAAGUCAGCGGUAAAAGCCCGGGGCUCAACCCCGGCGAGCCGUUGAAACUGGGGGGCUUGAGUUGGCGAGAAGUACGCGGAAUGCGCGGUGUAGCGGUGAAAUGCAUAGAUAUCGCGCAGAACCCCGAUUGCGAAGGCAGCAUACCGGUUCCACACUGACGCUGAGGCACGAAAGCGUGGGUAUCGAACAGGAUUAGAUACCCCUGUAGUC
rnacentral:rRNA from 1 species